AUUGAACGCUGGCGGCAUGCCUUACACAUGCAAGUCGAACGGUAACGCGGGGCAACCUGGCGACGAGUGGCGAACGGGUGAGUAAUACAUCGGAACGUGCCCAGUAGUGGGGGAUAGCCCGGCGAAAGCCGGAUUAAUACCGCAUACGACCUACGGGUGAAAGCGGGGGACCGCAAGGCCUCGCGCUAGUGGAGCGGCCGAUGUCAGAUGAGCUAGUUGGUGGGGUAAAAGCCUACCAAGGCGACGAUCUGUAGCUGGUCUGAGAGGACGACCAGCCACACUGGGACUGAGACACGGCCCAGACUCCUACGGGAGGCAGCAGAGGGGAAUUUUGGACAAUGGGGGCAACCCUGAUCCAGCCAUGCCGCGUGCGGGAAGAAGGCCUUCGGGUUGUAAACCGCUUUUGUCGGGGAAGAAACGGUCUGCGCUAAUACCGCGGACUAAUGACGGUACCCGAAGAAUAAGCACCGGCUAACUACGUGCCAGCAGCCGCCGUAACAC
rnacentral:rRNA from 1 species